rnacentral:rRNA from 1 species
GACAGAGGGUGCAAACGUUGUUCGGAAUUACUGGGCGUAAAGGGCGCGUAGGCGGCCUGCUAAGUCGAACGUGAAAUCCCUGGGCUCAACCCAGGAACUGCGUCCGAUACUGGUUGGCUUGAAUCCGGGAGAGGGAUGCAGAAUUCCAGGUGGUAGCGGUGAAAUGCGUAGAUAUCUGGAGGAAUACCGGUGGCGAAGGCGGCAUCCUGGACCGACAUGACGCUGGAGGAGGCGAAAGCUGAGGGAGCAACGGG